UUGUGUGACUACACGUUUAUAAUAUUUUUAUACUAAUGCAUUUUAUAUAUAUAUAAUUUAUAUAUAUAAAAACACAUGUGUGUAUAAAAGAACGAACUGUGGGUGAGGGCACUGGCGGGCCCUCUUUUUGCUUAGACAAUAACACUACGUUGAGUAGAAAGCGGGAGGGAAAACAAUGCGUACAGUAUAGUUGUGUACAUCUAAACGCUGCUGAUAUCGGUUCGGGCUUGGUCGAACAGUACCAGCUGUUAUACGUUUCCAGGUACAAACAGCCCAAGAAUUCAUCGAGAGAUGGCGGAUAGCGACGCUGAUCCGUCGCAGGUUCCUAAUUUGUUACGGACUGAGCGACAAGUUUUUACAAGGUCACCCUUUCAACCGCUGACCUUGGACAAUCUGAUCAAGUUCAUAAAGCAAUCCUCCUACCUGUAUGAUUCCACGAAUCCGCUGUUUGCUUCAUCCCAAAUACGAGUUGCUCGCUGGCAUGAAAUUGGCGGUUAUUUCGGCACCUCUGGCGAGACGAUAGUUCGACACUGGUUGAAAACCCUUUUCCACUACAAAUACGUGCUCAGGAAAUUGCUUAUAGCUAAACUUCGGAACGAACCUCAAAUGACCGUACCUGGUCCGUGGUUCGACAAGGUCGGUUCUAUUAUAGGGGUGACCUUCGAUCAAGCAAUGGCCGAAAUUGAUCCUCGUGAAGGUCUAGAGGAUUGCCUCCAUAGGGUAUUACUGCCGUCCCAUAAUUUGAAACUGGAAGGAUUUGAUGAAGCCUCUUUUGAAGGAUGAAGAACAUAGCAAAGUACGAAGAAGAAAAUGUUGGAAAAUGCAGAGCCGAGAACUGUCUUCAAUAGAAAUAAUUGGCAAAAAACUACUCAUAUUUGUAGGUAGCAGUGUUGAUGUUAUUGAAAGUGAACAUUAAUAUUAUUUAUUAGGGGGCUUUUGUAACUUCUGUGCAUUAUUAUAAUAAUGAGUUUUCAUGAAUAACAAUAUAGGGGAGUAGUCGUUGGAGUGACCGGUGGACCCAAAAGUAUGUUGAGUAAACUAGCUUAGCUUUUUAAUAAUACGUAAAUUCAUAGACCACCUAAAGAGGUAACAUAUACUCAACGAAUAAAAUGAGUCAUUUAGGUUAAUAUUAUUCAAUUUGUGCAAUUAUCUUGUCAAGGUUAUAAUGGUUGUUUGUGCUCUCGUUUGUGUAUCAUUCAGUUAUAUACUGUAAGAGGUUUUUAAAAUUGCAUAUUAGACAGUAGCCAUGUCUAUAAUAGGAACAUCUGAUCAUAAUGGUCAAUAAUAUCUUUCUAGAACUAUGUUAUAUAUGAGAGUGGAAGACUUUGUUGAAAUUUUCUCAUGGCUGUUUUUGCCUAUUGAUUAAUAGUGGCGUUUGUAAAACAUACGUUUGAAACAACGCUAAAUAUUGUGUCGGCAACAAGAAAUUGCCUAUAUCUGUAAAGUAACACGUAUCAUACCGAAGGAUUGUCCAGAAAAUGCAGAAGAAGUAUAUUCUGGAGUUUGAACUUCGGAAAUACUAGGAUAGGUGCUAAGUGCAUAUUUGUCUCUGUUAGGUCAAAUGGACUGUAUGAAACAAUUUUUUUGUCUAGCUGAGGUAGGUCAGUCGUGGUGACUCUUCAUUUUACCUGUAUAUAUAAUGAUGAAGUUUUUGCACUUCUCCUUUCAUAUUGUCCUGUAAAACACAGCACGAUGUAAAUAAAAGCUACAACUAUUUAAUGAACAACUUCACAGUGACUAUAAUGUCAAGUCAUAUGAAAAUUUGAAGCGGCCGAUCCCAUUAUAAUUUUGUGUACUAUCCACAGAUCAACAAGGUCACAAAAGUUCCGACGCAAAGAAACGCAUAAAUAGAAAACGGUAUUAUGAACCUUCAUCAAAAACUGGAACGAUUGGUCAUGCACCCAUUGCGAGUCGAAAAGCAGUAACAACAGAUGAUAGGAUAAGCUUGGGCAAUGUUGUUCCAUAAAAAUUACAAAAUGAGCAAUAAUGACGGCCUAUUUUCCAAUAUAUUUGAUAGGUGGUAGUCUUUGUGUUUUCCUUCACUUAAUCAUCCUAUCAGUCGAAAUAUGUUACGUCAUAGCUGUCCUCAUGACUAUACAGUUCUAAAACACUGCGAAGUAUUAGACAUGUAAUUAGCUUUGUUGCGAUAUUUUGCGACACUGGAUAGCGCUUUUAACUUCGAAGACAGUGCACCAGACAAUGUAAGUCUUACGACUAAUAAAUGGUAUAUGUAAAAGACAGAUAGCACUACACCCAUAUUUGACUGUACAACGCAUUUAAAAUAAUUAUACUUUCCAUGGGUACACGACACAUAUUUGCUUCUGCGACGAACAUUGAAGAUUUGUCUAACUUGUAGUGUGAAUAUGUCACAAUGUACGAGACGGGAAAGAGAUUAUAUUAAGUAUUAUAACAAUAUAGUUCGUAGGAAGCAUGUAGCAUACAGAACCGCUUAAUUUAAAAUGCGCCAAUUUUCAAACAUUCUUAUGAUGUUAAAUAACUUAAUUCUAUGAAAAUGUUAUUUUAACUGUUCCUUAGACCCGACGUUAAUAUUCUUCCUAAUAAAGAAAUACCGAAUAUUUGUAUAUGGUCACGCGUCAAGACAACAUUAUGCACACUAUGUAUAAUUUAUUGCUUACUCUAACCUUAUAGAGGCUCUAUCUUUUUAGGGUCAGGCCGCACAAGAUAUUUUAGAGACGUCAAUUAAGUGCUAGUAUAUGACUUGCGCUUGCAUAUACAAGUUUGCAGCGCUGCUGUUCGUGAUAUUCUCGGAAGCCGAAAAUAUCUAUAAUAUAAUAUAUAUAUUAUAUUAUAGUAGCUUGUUUAAACCCAUAAAUUUAUAUUGUGGGUUUAAACAAACUACUCAUAGCACAAUAACGACGGCUAGUGUUUCUCCCGGAAGUAACAUAAUUAGUGUGAUUGGCGGCAACAAUGAAAAAUUGUAUUUCUAUAUUAUUAUUACUGCCACUAUGUUUUUCCUCAAUGCCACAUCAUACAUAUAUACAGGGUAGGGUCGUAUGACGCGAUGAAUACCCAACAAAAGUCUACUGGCGAUAAUGAGAACUUGGUUGAGCUCCUAUUUGUUGAAAGUGCAAUAUGAUGUACAACCUACUACAUGCUUUGCAGCAUAAUUGAGGUACGUGAGAAGAACCUAUUACCGUAACCCUAUUUAGUUAGCAACAUUUGGAUUGCGAAAGUAUUAUGCCGGUGCAGAAUGUCAGUGCCGCUCCGAUAUUUAUUUUUGCUCUUACGACUCAUGAAAGGACGCCGCCAGCUGAAGUGAGGAGGGGAAUCAGUCGGCCACCUCAGAUCAUUGUGCGCUUUAUGCUGCCGUUGCGUUUCGGAAUUCUUUUCUCGAUAAUUCGAUUCUACUGGUGGUGUUUAAAGUGUCAUCUGGACCAAUAGUCACUUACUUCAGAAUUGAUGGAAGUAUCGUUAUUUUCGCGGAAGAGUGGUUGAUCCCAUUAUAGAAGUGGCAGUGUGGCUAGAAGGACCUCUCGCUAUUGUGUGUCAACUAUUUGUGAGUCGCCGUCAUCAUUUCACCUCACAACCUCAGAACCAAACAAACACAAAGGCAUGUACAGCCACAUUUAGAGAUAUAAAAUCUUAGUCAAGCUUAUCUAUCUGUAGGGAUAGGGAUAGGAGUCACCUCAGGCUAAUUCAACGUGCAGCAGUGUUUGUAAAUUCAUACCUGACAAAACGCUCCGUAUGCUCUGGGGCGUAGUGUUUUAGUCAUCAUACCUAUAUCUCGUACUAAAAAAUGCAAUGGAAAAAAAAUCAUUUAGCAAAAAUUAUUUCUAUUUGAUAUUGCAGUUGUACUUCUACGCGAAUUAAAAUGCUAGAUUAACUUUUGCAUCAUCACAGCUGGUCCUACGCAAUGUAGACUGUGAAUCCAGCUAGCCAUCUUUUAUGAGAUUUCGCGUAUCACAGCUUAAGAACGAAGACUGUGAAUACGACCAAUUCAACUUUUGCAGUAUCAAUUGUGCUCGCUCAAUAAAAAACCGCGUAGAGCAUCGAGAUUGUUAGACUACCAGAAAAUCCCGUUAAACUUUCCUUAAUGGACUGCCAUAUAGAAAAUGCCAUUUAUGUCAGCGAUCAGUUGUGCGGUAGCAAUCAUCGUUUGGAGCAUCGAGGUUAUUGAACCAUUCGUGUAUCCCGUGGCGUCGGCAAUAUCGCAAGUAUCCAAAAAUCCUACGCUCAUCGAAAUCUGCUUAAAUCAAGGUGAUUUUCCUGGCGGUCAAGGAGAUUAGCCAUUAAACAAUAGAGUCGGAUAGUAAACUCGCAAGCUCCUCUUGGUGGUGAAUGGGCAAAACGUGUGUCUGCCCACAGAAGGUACCAGUUACGCUGUUGACUGUCGUGGGUUUUUGCGUUUGUCUAAAUAGCUGUACAUUGAAUCAUGUACGUAUCGUUUCAAUGUACAUGAAAUCAUGUACAUUGAAAUAAGCAUGGAGAGCAAUAAGGUGCAGUCGAGGUUAACGGCGAAAGGUGGCGAGAUUUCCGAAUAUGAGCAGGACUUGGUCAGCUGCACGUCAUCAAAAUACUACACACCAGUCUCAACGAGCCGAAGGGGCUGUCGAUCAACGGUUGUUCAGGGCCCAAAAGACGACGUUCGCCAAGGUCGCAUUUAUCGUCCUCCUAUAGCUCGAGGUGAUAGUUUGUGAACAGUAAUUGUCAGCUACGCAGCCCUAUCGUCAGUAGUAAGAAGUUGACCUAGCGUAUGUUGACUUGGCGGUUUAAUUGACGAUUUACUCCCAAGAGGCUGGUAGAUGACAUUUUGGUACUUGUGCAUAAGGUAGAAUGCGAAGGCGCAACAUAACGGGAGAAAAAAAUGCUUGUAUCUAACACUUGCGUCCAACGGAAUAAGCGUAUGAUGUACAAGAAACUCCACUCCAUAUGAUUUUUCACGCACCCUACCACUCAAUGCAUAUCGGGCCGUGUAUGUGCUUAGAAACGCUGGAGAGAUUGUAAUAUGGUUAUUAUAUUUGUAAUAGAGACAAAUACACGUCAGACACGAAGAAUAGUCAAUAAAAUAUAAUUUUUAUGGAAAAUCAAAUCGAACUCAUUCGAAGGGGCUUGCU
rnacentral:lncRNA from 1 species